rnacentral:rRNA from 1 species
GGUCUUACCAUGCAGUCGAACGGUGAAAGAGAGCUUGCUCUCUGGAUCAGUGGCGAACGGGUGAGUAACACGUGAGCAAUCUGCCCCUGACUCUGGGAUAAGCGCUGGAAACGGCGUCUAAUACCGGAUACGAGCUGCGAAGGCAUCUUCAGCAGCUGGAAAGAACUUCGGUCAGGGAUGAGCUCGCGGCCUAUCAGCUAGUUGGUGAGGUAAUGGCUCACCAAGGCGUCGACGGGUAGCCGGCCUGAGAGGGUGACCGGCCACACUGGGACUGAGACACGGCCCAGACUCCUACGGGAGGCAGCAGUGGGGAAUAUUGCACAAUGGGCGCAAGCCUGAUGCAGCAACGCCGCGUGAGGGACGACGGCCUUCGGGUUGUAAACCUCUUUUAGCAAGGAAGAAGCGAAAGUGACGGUACUUGCAGAAAAAGCGCCGGCUAACUACGUGCCAGCAGCCGCGGUAAUACGUAGGGCGCAAGCGUUAUCCGGAAUUAUUGGGCGUAAAGAGCUCGUAGGCGGUUUGUCGCGUCUGCUGUGAAAACCCGAGGCUCAACCUCGGGCCUGCAGUGGGUACGGGCAGACUAGAGUGCGGUAGGGGAGAUUGGAAUUCCUGGUGUAGCGGUGGAAUGCGCAGAUAUCAGGAGGAACACCGAUGGCGAAGGCAGAUCUCUGGGCCGUAACUGACGCUGAGGAGCGAAAGGGUGGGGAGCAAACAGGCUUAGAUACCCUGGUAGUCCACCCCGUAAACGUUGGGAACUAGUUGUGGGGUCCAUUCCACGGAUUCCGUGACGCAGCUAACGCAUUAAGUUCCCCGCCUGGGGAGUACGGCCGCAAGGCUAAAACUCAAAGGAAUUGACGGGGACCCGCACAAGCGGCGGAGCAUGCGGAUUAAUUCGAUGCAACGCGAAGAACCUUACCAAGGCUUGACAUAUACGAGAACGGGCCAGAAAUGGUCAACUCUUUGGACCCUCGUAAACAGGUGGUGCAUGGUUGUCGUCAGCUCGUGUCCUGAAAUGUUGGGUUAAGUCCCGCAACGAGCGCAACCUCGGUCA